rnacentral:rRNA from 1 species
GAUGAACGCUGGCGGCGUGCCUAAUACAUGCAAGUCGAGCGAACGGACGAGAAGCUUGCUUCUCUGAUGUUAGCGGCGGACGGGUGAGUAACACGUGGAUAACCUACCUAUAAGACUGGGAUAACUUCGGGAAACAGGAGCUAAUACCGGAUAAUAUUUUGAACCGCAUGGUUCAAAAGUGAAAGACGGUCUUGCUGUCACUUAUAGAUGGAUCCGCGCUGCAUUAGCUAGUUGGUAAGGUAACGGCUUACCAAGGCAACGAUGCAUAGCCGACCUGAGAGGGUGAUCGGCCACACUGGAACUGAGACACGGUCCAGACUCCUACGGGAGGCAGCAGUAGGGAAUCUUCCGCAAUGGGCGAAAGCCUGACGGAGCAACGCCGCGUGAGUGAUGAAGGUCUUCGGAUCGUAAAACUCUGUUAUUAGGGAAGAACAUAUGUGUAAGUAACUGUGCACAUCUUGACGGUACCUAAUCAGAAAGCCACGGCUAACUACGU